GCUGAGGUAGCAAAGCCAGGUCUAAUGCGUCCGACUUCUGAUCGGUUUGUCUUCGCAGACACGAGGGUUCAAAUCCCUCCCUCAGCG
rnacentral:tRNA from 1 species